rnacentral:lncRNA from 1 species
CCUCUAUCACAAGUGGAACUAAAAAUAUGUCAAAAUCUUCUUUCACUUAAGUCAUAAUCAGCUUUGACGUGGAAAAAAAACUAUGGAGAUUGCUUUAGCUGAAAGAGAAGAGCUUAAAAUACAAGCAGACCAGAAUGGGAAAAAAAGUUUGGUGGAAACUGUGGAUGCUGAUUCAAUGAAAACACUAAGAAUGGAUGGAUAGAAAUGCUGUCUCAAUUUAGAAAAGCAACUACACAUCAUGAUAUUCUGUGAACCACUGGCUCAUCUAUUUGUUUGAUUUUUUUUUCUUAUUAUUUACUGUAAGUUAUGUGAACAUAAAUAAACCCCACUGUUCAUAGCCA